CUGAAGAUUUGGCCUUCGGGUCGCUCUUCCACCCUUUGUUUACCUUUACCAUGUUGCUUUGGCGGGCCGCCUUAGGCCACCGGCUCUCGGGCUGGUGAGUGCCCGCCAGAGACACCCUUAACCCUAACCAUUUUGACGUUUGUCUGAGAAAAACUUAAUUGUUA
rnacentral:misc_RNA from 1 species